UUACUGUAAAGCUGGAGCAACAAUCCCUAACCCAACAGAUGGUGUGACUGGGAAUAUCUGCCCUGGGGGCACUUACUGCACUGCAGCAUCUGCAGUUCCCAAGCUCUGCCCUGCUGGUACCUUUUCCAGCGUCCAGGGGAGGAGAACGCUUUCCGAGUGCCAGCCUUGCCCCUCUGGCUUCUACUGUGAGGAACCUGGCCUCAGUGCUCCGACUGGAGAGUGCUGGGAAGGCUAUUACUGUGACAGCCAGCAAGGGCCAGUUAUUGAUUUUACCCUUUACCCAUGCCCACGAGGGUUUUACUGCCCACCAGGAACAAAGAGCAGCACUCAGUAUAGCUGCCCUGCAGGAACCUUUGGACCAAGGCAAAACCUGAAAGCAAUCACAGAAUGUCAGAGGUGCCCACCAGGGAAAUACUGUGAAUUCUCUGGGCUUGCUGCCCCAACAGGAGACUGUGCUGAGGGGUUUUGGUGCAAAAGUGGUACCUGCGUAAGAAACCCCCAAGAUGGAGAAUCAGGACUUCC